CAAAAAUCCAGUCGACCUCACCGAAAAUACACUUUAUAUAGUAACAUUACCUGCUCGCUACUUGUUCCAUUAUCACAAGAGGUCUCAACAGGAGAUCCGGGGGCCUCCUCUUUCCAGGCCACAGUGAGGAGCUCCGUCUGCCAGCCCUGGUCCCUGCUCCGGCUCUGCUCCCAUACUGGCCGUAGCAGCACUCCAGCCUCCUGCCAUAGCGACACACACCUGCUUGGUUUCCAGUAAGGACUUGUCGGUAGUGCCUUCUUAGAAAGAAAGAGGAGGAGGAAAAGGUUUUGCCAGAACCAGGGCUCCGCGGCAGGUGUCCUCGGCCACUCCACCACGCUUUGCUCGCACAGCCUCCUCCUCAGACGCAGGAAGUGAGAGUGCUGCAGCACGGGCUCCAGCAUCAGCACCA